GCCAGAUGAGCUGCUCUGGAUCCUUAAAUAUGGAGGGCUAAACAACACCCCCAACACAUGUAAAGGGAAAGAACAUGCAGCUGCUGUGCGGGUCAUUAUCUCCCAAGACUGUGGAAUACUAUCUUCACCAAGAUCUUCCCGUUCUUUCACGGAAGGAGAGUCAGCAGGAAAACUACUUCAUGGCUUGAUAUGGGAAUGCAUGAAAGAAUCAGAGGGCUGUUACUGCAAACUCCCUCUUGUGACCUUGCCUGUGCUGGUGGAAUGAAGAUGCGGAUGGCAAGAAGUGGAUGCAUUUCUAUUCUACGAAGCAAGUAGAGCCCAGAGGACCAGCCUCCUGUGUCUCUCCUUUGGGACCUUGGCCUUCAAGUGUGGGCUCCAGAAUCCCUUGGGAGCAGGUUAGGAAUACAGAAGUUUGGGCCCUGCUGCAGAAUCUGCGUUUUAACAAGAUCUCAGUUUGAAGAUGUGGAUGUACGAUUUGCAGAUCCUGCCUGGGCCUUUAAUGUGUAUACAAAUUACCUGGAGAACUUAUUAAAAAUGCAGAUUCUAGUUCAGAUGUCUGGAGCAGGGAGGGGGCAGCUGAGAAUCUACCUUUCUUGUCAGCUCGCAGCACACUGCUUCUCUGCACGGCUUCAUGACACACAAGGCAGCACAUGAGAGGACUUAGUGCA